rnacentral:lncRNA from 10 species
UGUAAUUAAGGUUUCUAGUCAGCAGAACUUAUAUUGCAGAGAUUAUCCUGGGUUAAUCAGAAUGAGUCUAAAGUAAUCACAAGUGUCCUAAAAUGUGGAAGAGAGAGGCAGAAAAGGCAAUAUCAGCAGGAGGUGAUUUGAGAAAAACUCAGCUGGCCAUUGCUGGCUUUGAAGAUGGAAAGAAGGACAAACUCCUAGAAUGUGAAUAGCCUCUUGAAGCCGAAAAGGGCAAGAAAAUUGAACUAAAUGCAGCACAAAUGACACCUGAAUUUUAUUUAGCCCAGUGAGAUCCAUUUCAGACUUCUGAAUCCCAAAACUGUAAGAGGAGAAGAAGAGGAGAACAAAUGGAGAAGGGGGAAAAAGGACGAGAAGGAGGAGAAAAAGAAGAAACAGAGACCGUAGGCUACAAAAAUUAAAGUAUCUACAAAGUGGACCUUUCAUUGAAAGUGCGCCAGCCUAAACAGAUGUGUCUUGCUGGAAAGCUUUAUUCUAAGCAGAUGCAAGAAUUCAGAUGCUUCAUAUUUUGUAACGCUGAAAUCUUUAACAUGGGGCCAACAAGUUUCCCGUGGUUUGAAGAAAAAGCAUGAGGAUAACACAGAGGAUGCAUCACUGUCUUAUUAAGAAGUGAUACUCAGGCCAGCCAUGGUGGCUCACGCAUAUAAUCCCAGCACUUUGGGAAGCUGAGGUGGG